GGGAGAGAUGGCCGAGUGGUUGAUAGCUCCGGUCUUGAAAACCGGUAUAGUUCUGAACAACGAACUAUCGAGGGUUCGAAUCCCUCUCUCUCCU
rnacentral:tRNA from 2 species